rnacentral:rRNA from 1 species
CGGUGGUGAUUGCAAAGAGGCCACACCCGUUCCCAUCCCGAACACGGAAGUUAAGCUCUUUUGCGCCGAUGGUACUGCACGGGUAGCUGUGUGGGAGAGUAGGACGCUGCCGGAUU